GGAAGAGAAACUGGCUGGGAGCCAGGACUGCCUCGAAAGCAGUACGCACCUUCACGGGUGUGGGGUUCGAGACCUCUCUCUUCCU
rnacentral:tRNA from 1 species